GCGCCAGUGGCGCAAAGAAUAGUGCACGCGUCUGCGAAUUGGGUGAAAUACGGGUUCAAGUCCCGUCUGACGCA